rnacentral:rRNA from 1 species
ACGGCGCACGGGUGCGUAACACCCUGGGCAACCUGCCCUUCAAUGGGGGAUACCCCCGCGAAAGCGGGACUAAUACCGCAUGAUAUUCCUGGGACUCCUGUUCCGGGACUCAAAGGCCGCAAGGCCGUUGAAGGAGGGGCCCGCGCCCGAUUAGCUUGUUGGCGAGGUAACGGCUCACCAAGGCAAUGAUCGGUAGCCGGUCUGAGAGGAUGGCCGGCCACACUGGAACUGAGACACGGUCCAGACUCCUACGGGAGGCAGCAGUGGGGAAUCUUGCGCAAUGGGCGAAAGCCUGACGCAGCGACGCCGCGUGGGGGAUGAAGCUUCUCGGAGUGUAAACCCCUUUCGACCCGGACGAAACGCCCGCAAGGGUUUGACGGUACGGGUAUAAGAAGCCCCGGCUAACUACGUGCCAGCAGCCGCGGUAAGACGUAGGGGGCCAGCGUUGCUCGGAAUUACUGGGCGUAAAGGGUUCGUAGGCGGUGUGGCAAGUCGGGAGUGAAAUCUCUGGGCUUAACUCAGAGGCUGCUUCCGA